rnacentral:lncRNA from 7 species
GCAGAUUCCCUUGAGCAUGGCCACGCAGACAGAGAUGUGCAAAGCUGUGCGCCGUGCUGCUGAACACACCCCAGGAUGCCUUGGACGUUCUGGCCCUGCUGCAGCUGUGCAAACUGCCUGUCAAUGGAAGAGCACAUUCCAAUGGAAAUGGAGGAGAAACCCAUCCAGCACAUCCAGUACAGACCUACAAAUAACCUCUCUAAACAGCAAAAUCAGUGUCCCAGACACUAACUUCACAAGGAGCAAGAGGCUUUCCUCACCCACUACGGUCCUUAAGAGGGGAAUGUAGCUUGAAGGAGGUGCAUAAUAUCACUGCAAUCACUUAAGAACACCAAUGGAUAAGAACGGUUUACUGGCAGGUUGUUUUUGAGAAGAAACAGCUGGAUUUUAUCAACACAGCCUCUAAAGGUUUGCGGUGGUCCCAUGACCCUUACUUUCACAUUAGCUUAACUCCCAGAAGACUUAAGUAAUUAAGCUAAGAAACAAAAUCUUAUUGAAGCAAUUUAUUAUGUGCAAAUUACAUCCAACUUCAGGGACAUUAGCCCUUAAGGCCAACAUCUGACAGGCUUUUCAGAUCCCUAAAUUUGCCAGGAUCUGUUGUAAUUAACAGCAGGAACAAGCAAGCCUGAACUCUCCUUCAAAAGGCAAAAUGUAAGUGCAAAUCAUGCAUUAUAAUCAAGCAUCAUACCAGAGACAGUGUUAGUCCAUCAAGAAUCAACCAUGAUUUGGCUUAAACGACCAUCAACAACUUGUGUGGGGGCCAAGAGGACUGAUUUUGAUGUGGGAGAGAAUUUCCUAAUAAAACUUUCUGUAUGGUUAAAUAAUGAAUACAAGUGCAGGAUGUUUAUCAUGCCUUAAAUGACCAAUCACAGCAGAAGGAAAGAAUUAGAAAGAAUUGAAAAGAAUAAAGGGGACCUUACAAUUCUGUUCUUAAACUAUGAAUUGCCCGCCCUCUCCCUGUGGGACAGAAUACAUGCUAACCCAGGAAUGAAGGAUUCAACGCAGAAUUAGAAUUAAUGAAAGGGAUGCAAUUGCUUCCAGGAUAGGGACCAGUUUCCCAGAGUUCUUAACUGCAAGCAAAGAUUUUACACACAGUGUUCUGCUUGCUGGGACUUCAGCAAAGUUCUGUCCGUGUUCAGCUCCUCACAUUCAAAAGUCAAUUAAUUCUAUUUAAGUAAGCGGCACUACCAGGGAAAGCGAGGGAAGGAGAGAAGCUCCAAAACUUACACAUGCCUAAUAUUGAGUAGGGAUAUAUAAAUGGCUUUAGAACACUUUUCCCCUUGUGAUGGCAUGGAAGUUUAUCUCAGCACUCCAAAUUCUUUGUCUUGCACCUUAAGGAAGUUGUGGCAGUGACGUUGUACUUAAACAGAUAUUCCCAUCUUCAAUUACUAACAAAGUUGGGUUUUACAUGCACUUGCAGUACGACAGCAGUAGGGUAGCUCAGAUUCCAGCCUCUUACAUUGGCUCUUUGACUGCUUCAUCAUUACUGCCGAAAUCCUUAACAAUUAAGAAAGGAGAAAUGGAAGCCUGAUACAGUCAAAUCCACUUCAACAACCCCCAUUUAUUUCCUAUUUUAAUGGAUUUCAGUUAUGUUUGCAAUAGGGUGAGAGUGGUAUCACAGGAAACCGAGAUCUGAAUAAUGUAUUUUUAUUCAAAAGAACUGAUAUUUAGAACACAUAACAAUGCAUCCCCUUCAGUAACAAAACACUAUGUGUUGUCCUGUGUACACAAUUCUAUAGACAACCUCAUGAUAGCAAAUGUAUAUUCCUUUCUGAACUGCAGAUGCUUUCUUUACUUCUUAAAUUUCCAUUAGUGUGGACUUAAAUUCGGCUGUCAAAGCAGUUUGGAAAUGAUCUCCUCCUCAAAAGAAUGACAUCCUAUCUCUCUGCUUUCAUUUAUUUUUGGACACCAAAUUAACCACCAAUUGGCAAAAUAAACACAGAUUUAAG